UCUAUCAAAUGUUUGACCGAAAUUACGUUAUUCCUAGGUUACGUUAGAUUGAUAGAAGGAUAUAUGAUACAUCAAAUCCGUAGAUAUACACCUAGGCUGUUGUCGGACCUAAUGUGCACACCUUUAUAGUGUUAAUUUCCGUUGUUCAGAAACUCAGCUCAUUUGAAGGAGCCUUCCCGUCCUGCUCUCAUGCUCCUAAAUAUUUGAUAUUUUAAUUUUUCUUUCUUUUUUUCUUUCAUUAUUUUUGUAUAUAUUCAAUAUUUAAACAUUUACAACCAAACAGCUAGAGGUUCCACCACCACUUCUAAAAAAGUAUAAGGUAGCAGAAAAGGUAUAAAAAGUGAAUGUUUCAACUUAAUUUCAAUAAAUUUACAAAGUAAAAUUGUUAUUCGAUUACAAAAAAAAUGCAAUUAAUUAAAUUGUUCCUUAUAGUGGCUUGCAUUGCUGCCGGAGUAAUGGCUUCUCCCGAUAAUUAUAAUGCUCAAGACGUUUAUAACAGCGGUCAUUUUCAACAAGGAGGAAAAAAAUAAUUUAAAUAAUAUCAAAAUUUUAUGAUUCAAAUAAAAUCAAUUUAAAAAAAUUA